rnacentral:rRNA from 1 species
CUCCAGACUCCUACGGGAGGCAGCAGUGGGGAAUAUUGCACAAUGGGGGAAACCCUGAUGCAGCGACGCCGCGUGAGCGAUGAAGUAUUUCGGUAUGUAAAGCUCUAUCAGCAGGGAAGAAGAUGACGGUACCUGACUAAGAAGCCCCGGCUAACUACGUGCCAGCAGCCGCGGUAAUACGUAGGGGGCAAGCGUUAUCCGGAUUUACUGGGUGUAAAGGGAGCGUAGACGGCGAUGCAAGCCAGAUGUGAAAGCCCGGGGCUCAACCCCGGGACUGCAUUUGGAACUGUGUGGCUGGAGUGUCGGAGAGGCAGGCGGAAUUCCUAGUGUAGCGGUGAAAUGCGUAGAUAUUAGGAGGAACACCAGUGGCGAAGGCGGCCUGCUGGACGAUGACUGACGUUGAGGCUCGAAAGCGUGGGGAGCAAACAGGAUUAGAUACCCCUGUACCA